rnacentral:tRNA from 1 species
GCCCCCGUAGCUUAAAUGGAUAAAGCAGUGGUUUCCUAAACCGCGCAUCCCGGUUCAAUUCCGGGCGGGGGUACCA